rnacentral:lncRNA from 1 species
GGAAGAUAUGGGUUCAUAAUGGGACAUUGUUGAACUAAGUUCUAUUGAAUCUUGAGUCAUUUUUGUGGGAUUCUUUGUUCUGUAAUGUCACCGACAAAUUUAGAAAUGUUUUCACUUUUACUCAUCAAUCCAGCUACAGAAAUAUGCUGGUGUUCUAUAAUUUUGGGUGGAAAUUUGCUAACUCAGACAUCAUAUACCCAGCAAAUAUGCAUUUCUACACGCGAACCAGAUGACUGGUCAAGAAAUGAAUUUUCCACUGCUGUAGAAGCCCAGUACUGUACUGCUUCUAAACUGCAUGUGCCUGCUUGCCUGGCUUUCUGGUUCAUUUAUGCUACGAGAAAGCUUUCUGUAAAUGGUCCAACUUUUCCAUAAGGCUUCAUAGGAUCUUCAGAUUUAUGCAGAUUGGGACAAAAAAGAACAUUUCCCUCCACUCUCUAAAUUUCCAUGAUAUUGUGUAGCAAGAAAGGAUUUAUUCUUUUGCCUCCUGCCAGCAAGAGCAUGAGUGAAUGUGGUGUAGUGGUGACAGCUUUAUUCUUGUUACCUGAGAACACAUUCACAAUCAAAUGCCAAAACGUCUAUGUUCUGGAUUCCUGAGGCAUCACGCUCCAAGGAUUUGUAUGUUCAUCUUGUAAGUAAGGAAAACAGCUUGGCAAUUCAAAACAAUUGUGAGAGGACUUAGCACAGACAAGAGAUCUUGUGGCUCAUCUCAUAAUAUUGCUGAUAGGGAACAUCAAAAGCCUUUUUUUCCCAAAUACAUUAGUAUAUUGAAGACUUAUUUUAGAAGAGCUUGAUUACUGUGAAGGAAAGGAUACAUUUCCAAGCAAAACCAUCACAUUUAAGAAGAAAUGCACAGUGUUAAAAAAAAAAAAAAAAAGAAAGAAAAAAGAAAAAAAAGGCCUUUAAAGAAAUCAUUUCAUCUGUGCUGUACUCCAACAGAAAAAUGAUUCUACUCAUCUUGUCUAUCCUCAUGAUUCUUUUCCUGUCAUCCUGGAUUUAGUGGAAUAAACUGUUUCACCUCUCAUGCCUUAGAGCUCA